rnacentral:snRNA from 1 species
GGAUGUGAGGGUGAUCUGGCUGCAACAUCUGUCACCCCAUUGAUCACCAGGGUUGAUUCGGCUGAUCUGGCUGGCUAGGCGGGUGUCCCCUUCCUCCCUCACUGCUCCAUGUGCAUCCCUCCCGAAGCUGCAUGCUUGGUUGUUUGAAGAGGACAGCCUUCCCCUAACAAUGAAAAACAACAAGGGCAAAAAAACGGGAAAAUAAAUAAAUAUUUUAAAAAUUGAAAAAAAAAAAAAAAGAAAACCUCACUUUAUACUUU